rnacentral:rRNA from 1 species
CUACGGGCCGCUGCAGUGGGGAAUAUUGCACAAUGGGCGCAAGCCUGAUGCAGCAACGCCGCGUGAGGGAUGAAGGCCUUCGGGUUGUAAACCUCUUUUAGCAGGGAAGAAGCGAAAGUGACGGUACCUGCAGAAAAAGCACCGGCUAACUACGUGCCAGCAGCCGCGGUAAUACGUAGGGUGCAAGCGUUGUCCGGAAUUAUUGGGCGUAAAGAGCUCGUAGGCGGUUUGUCACGUCUGCUGUGAAAAUCCACGGCUCAACCUUGGACUUGCAGUGGGUACGGGCAGGCUAGAGUGUGGUAGGGGAGAUGGGAAUUCCUGGUGUAGCGGUGGAAUGCGCAGAUAUCAGGAGGAACACCAAUGGCGAAGGCACAUCUCUGGGCCGUAACUGACGCUGAGGAGCGAAAGCGUGGGGAGCGAACAGGAUUAGAUACCCCAGUAGUC